CAGGGUCACACCUGGGGACACUGCUGGGCUCAGGGGGCUCAGGGUCACACCUGGGGACACUGCUGGGCUCAGGGGGUGCAGGGGACACUACUGGGCUCAGGGGCUCAGGGUCACACCUGAUGGCACCACUGGGCUCAGGGUCACACCUGGGGACACUGCUGACAAUCUCUGCCUGUUCCUCCAGCUCAGCACCUGCCUUCAGGUUGAGUUCCUCAAGUCCUGCUGAUUCACCCUUGUGCAAGUCACUUAACUGUUCUGUGCCUGCUGCCCAGCCCUGCAGGGUGCCCAGGCUGCAGCAGGGUGUUGUAAGCCUUCAUCCGCAGGAAUCCAGGGUGUUUUGAGAUGUGGGAGCUGUUAACAGAACACCGGGUGUCAUUAUCCAUUAUCAGAUAGUUUAUAAUAACAUACACACACCUCCUGGGCUGCUGGGUCCCUUCUGUGGUGUCUUGCUGCAGCUCUGAUUGCUUUGGGGUUGUUUUGUUAUUUCUAGAGAGAGAUUUUUCCCCAGUUUCGAGCCAUUCCCCAGUGAGUUGUCCCCUCUCAGACUGCUCCUAGAGCAGCCCCAUCCCCUGUGCUGAGGCAGACUCCAGAAUAUGUGAUGACUUUGCAGAGCUGCUUAACACCGAGUGAAGACACAACUUAAUCAGCUUCAGAAGCCACCACUCAUCAGCUGAGACACCUUAACUGGCUGCAUGCACGUUCCUGAAGCAAUUCCUGCUUUUAUAGCUCAUCCCAGCAUGGAUUCCCUCACCAAGGGAGUAACAUCUUCCUUCCAGUCAAAGACUUCCCACCUAACAAGGAACAACGAAUUCACUCCAGAUUUAUUCCAGAAUCUGCAGCCUCAGUCACACAAACCCGCCAGGGAAGCAAAGGAAACUCCUUCCAGGUCCUUCUGUGAGGUUAUGAAGGGCUGGGAGAACAGACAGGAGCAGUUCCUGCUGGGAUUCCCAGCGUUUGAACUCAGCCAGCUGCAGAUUUUGUCC
rnacentral:lncRNA from 1 species